rnacentral:lncRNA from 1 species
GUUGACCAAGGGUUGAUUAAUGCUUCUACACCAAGAGGUCUGGAGUUCGAGUCCCAGAUAUUACGAUUUAUUAACAAAUUUGCAGAUUAAUGGAGAUAAGUGUGUAAGAGAUCUCCAGCGAUAUACAAUUAUACCCGUUCGCCAGGUUGUAGAUCAUUGAAUGUAUUCAUCAAGAUUAUAAAGAAAGCAGUAUAGUCUGUCGUGGAUCUAGUAAGGGUCGGAAGGAAUUGUCAGUUGUAGAAUCGUCUAUGUAACAGUUCUCAUAAUUUGCAACUAAUAAUAAAUAUAGACGACAAAAAAAUAUAUAUAUAUAAACAGAUUAAU